rnacentral:rRNA from 1 species
AGGGCUGCAUUGAGCUACUCUCCCACAGUUAAGACUGCAGUACCAUCGCCGUGAGUAGGCUUAACUUCCGUGUUCGGGAAGGGAACGGGUGUCUCCCUACCACUAUCGACACA